rnacentral:lncRNA from 1 species
AUAUAUAUAUAUAUAAAAACUCAGCCCAUCGUUUACUUCGAUGGUGGAGGAGAAAAGUCGACUGUGCCAUGGAGUCCACAGGCAUUAAUUAGGAGAUGGGGUUAAACUCUGUAGCUGUCAUAAAUAAGGAGGGUAAUAAAUUCAUGGAAAGUGAUUUGCCUCAACGCCAUGGAAAGUGAUUUGCCUCAACGCCAUCAUCUGCACUCGUUUGUUUUUUUAGUUUCAUCCUCUCCUUUGAUUACAAGUAUUAUUCUUUUAUAGAGCACUAGUAACAUUAAUUACAAUAUAUCAAGAAAUUAAUGGAAUAAAUUAUUAAAUAAAACCCCUUAUUUAUAAUAGUUGAUUAAUGGAAAGUUUUCAUGGAAUAUUAAUUUCUGGUUCUAGCUCAAUGGUCAUUUUCACUUUUCCCGCAGGGAGUCAUGAAAAUUGUUGAUCUAAUUAAUCUUAAGAUGGCUGGUCGAUUCUUAAUCCUAUAUCCUUCUUUAUUUCUGGUUCUAUAGGAUUUGAUUGCAUAACUCUAGAUUUUUUCAAUAUAAAAAUCAAAAUAUACCAUGUAGAGAAUAUAUAUAUAUA